AUGUACUGAAGAGAAGAGUUGUAAUAUUGGCAGUACUUUUAACAUGUGUAUACUUAUGUCUACCAACAGCAGACAGUGUGUGUUAAGGAGUUGCGAGGAGCAGCAUGGUGCCAUAACAUGUUUGUGUGUGGUGGGGAUGCGUUGGACGUGUGCUCUGAAUCACUCAUCCCUAAUCACAUAUACAACCCAGCAGAAACAGAACACACAGAGGGCGAGAAGCCACCCACUCCAGUGUUGCUGACUAUGAGGAGUGUGUAUGGUGAGGGCAGGAUGAUGGCAGCAAUGCGGGAAAUAGAGGUGGGCUGCAUCCGUACUUCACAGCCUGUUGCUAAGAAGAAUGUGGAGUUUCUCUGGGAGAAAAUGGAGGCUCUCCAGCAGCACGGCUUCAGUGUGGACCCCUCUAAAGGAAGUGUGGAGGCAGGACACAGGCGCACCAUCACAGUCACCUGGACUCCCUCUGCUGGCCACACACCCAACGAGGUGAUUCAGGUCUGUGUUCCCUUAAUAUUGAGAGGAGAUGAAACCGAAGUGUACAAUGUCACACUCCUGGCCUACACAUCCCACAGCAAACACUGAGUAUAAGAGAGGUUUAUAUUAUUCUAUAAUUAUUCAUCAUUUUAGGAGAAUGUAUAUUCAUAUCUCGAUGUCCUGUCUUAAAUACUUCUUUGUUAUCUAUAUUAACUUAUGCUUGGAGAGGUCAUUGUUUUAUAUCAUUUAUAUUAAAAUAAUGCAUUUAGGGUCACUGUCAAAAAAUGUUCUGUACAUUAUAAAUGGAUUAAUAAAAAUACC
rnacentral:lncRNA from 1 species